rnacentral:rRNA from 1 species
GACGAACGCUGGCGGCGUGCUUAACACAUGCAAGUCGAACGGAAAGGCCCUGCUUUUGUGGGGUGCUCGAGUGGCGAACGGGUGAGUAACACGUGAGUAACCUGCCCUUGACUUUGGGAUAACUUCAGGAAACUGGGGCUAAUACCGGCUAGGAGCUCCUGCUGCAUGGUGGGGGUUGGAAAGUUUCGGCGGUUGGGGCUGGACUCGCGGCUUAUCAGCUUGUUGGUGGGGUAGUGGCUUACCAAGGCUUUGACGGGUAGCCGGCCUGAGAGGGUGACCGGCCACAUUGGGACUGAGAUACGGCCCAGACUCCUACGGGAGGCAGCAGUGGGGAAUAUUGCACAAUGGGCGGAAGCCUGAUGCAGCAACGCCGUGUGCGGGAUGACGGCCUUCGGGUUGUAAACCGCUUUCGCCUGUGACGAAGCGUGAGUGACGGUAAUGGGUAAAGAAGCACCGGCUAACUACGUG